UUUAAAUUAUUUUCACUCUUCUCUUUAUUGCCACCUCCUCCUCCUGGAGAUCACAGCUAAUGUCACCUUUACCAUCUCCUCCACUGGGUAGAGCCUGGACAUCUGGCACCUGGGCACUGGUCCUGCCUGGACACGGCCACUUCCAUUCUCACGACAGGAGCAAAGGGCCUGCCCUGUGGAGUGCCUUGACACUUUACCCCAAUAGCACGCUUAACACAAAGGAUCUCAGAGUGUCUUGGGGAAGAUGUGAUCUGUGCCAAGCUCAGUCCUUUUCCUGGACCCUCUGCAGAGAAGCCAGGGCAUUCUCCAGCCUGUGCUAGAAAUGCGACAAGCUCAGGAAUUAAGGUGCAGGAGUUCCCGCCAUGGCUCAGUGGUUAACAAACUCAACUAGUAUCCAUGAGGACAUGGGUUCAAUCCCUGGCCUUGCUCAGCGGGUUGGGGAUCGGGCACUGCUGUGAGCUGUGCUGUAGGUUGCAGGUGCAGCUUGGAUCCAGCAUUGCGAUUACUGUGGUAUAGGCCGGCAGCUACAGGUCCAAUUAGACCCCUAGCCUGGGAGCCCUCCAUACGCUCUAGGUGUGGCCCUAAAAAGACAAAAAGACAAAAAAAAAAGAAAUUAAGGUGCACAUUUCAUAGGCAGGCACUUCAUCAAGCACGGUCCUGUUCCCUUUGCUAAUCGUUUCAUGCCUGUGCUUCCUGCCUUCCCAGCCAUCCUGAGACCAUCUUGAGGGUAUGGACUGCAGCUUCUAGUUCUCUGUUAAGCCCAGGGUUCUGAGCAUCACAGUGAGGGCUGGAUUCAUAUCAGCUGGUUGUCUCAGCAUCAUCUCCACCAACCUGAGGCACAGGUGCUUCUCCAGGGCAUUUUCCAAGGGGGAAAGUCCAGGAUAAAGUCCCUGACCCCAAGUCUUUAUCUUACACCUGAAAAUACCCUUUCCCCCAACAAGGACACACUCACAGGCCUCCAGCAUUAGGGCCUGACAUCUUUGGGGGAUGCUUCGCCUACUGCACCACCGCCCACCACCUCUUCUGACCUCGAACGAGUGUCCAAGGGUCCCAGAUCAGCCUCUCUGAGUCGUGCUUAUCCCUCUGAGGUACAGGAAUGACUUUUAUGGAUCCGUUGGCUUCUUCACAGAGUGGUGGUGAGGACUGAGAGGUAAUAUAUAUAUUGAAAGCAUUUUCUAAGCUGUAAAGCCCCACACAAAUGCAAGACAACAUUAUUGCACUGGGAGCGUGGCAAGUUCAACACUUGAGAAAACUAUCAGAUUUUAAAACAUGUGAGGGAAUAGGAAACCAAUGUUACUCCAAAACCUCAUUUACACCCCACACCAAAGCCUCCCACUCUCCCUGCCUCCGCUCUCCCCUGUGGCUAUAGGGGUGUGACAGAGGCCUGUCUUGGGGGUGGCUUUGUGGCCUGAAAACAAAUCAUUCUUCACAGCUGGCUCCCCGAGUCCAAUAAGCCAGAAGGAAUUGGUAGAGAGAUUUAACGAUAUGUAUUUCAAGAAAAAGAUGAAAAUGUGUCUACUUUUAGGAGAUGCAGUAAAAAUGCAUCAGCCCCACAAUAAACUUGGCAGUGAAGAUGCAUAGAAGGCACACAUAUAAUGCAGUCAGGGCAGUAAUGUCUCAUUUCUAGGGAAAUCCUCUAAGAGAUCAAUUAGAAUUUGCCCCCGCCCAUGCCCUAUACACAGCCUCUGAACACGGUCCCACCCCUCCAGCUACCUCCAGCCUCUGCAGGGGGCCUGUUGGCUCAAAGCAGCUUGUUCCCCAGUCUCCCUUGGAAGUCUCUAGAAGAGAUGUGGGCUGAAACGGUUUGCAAACCAAUUACAUGAGAAGUGGGAAACUGUGGCCCCCAGAUCAAACCUGGCUCAUAAAUUACAGCUUUAUUGGAUCACAGCCAUGCUGAUUCCUUCUAUGAUGGCUUUGUUGCUCUAAUAGAAGAGUUUAAUAAUUCUGAUUGAAAUCACAUGGCCUGAAAGUCUAAUAUAUAUAUUAUUGGGCCUUUACAGAAAAAGUUUGUUGACAUCUGAAUAACGCCAUUACGUGAUAGGCUGUCUUUAGGCAAAACUGCCUGUAAAACCAAGAACAGGAUGACAGCUAAUUUUUUUGAGCCCUGUUCUGUGCCACGCAUGGCAUUGUGCCCAUAGGAACAGAAUGUCCCCUUAUUUAUUCUCGCAAGCAGUCCCAUGAGGUAGUAAUGCUAGCAGUAUGGCUAGAGGAGAAAACAGGCUCAGGGAAGCUAAGCAACUUUCUCAAGGUCUCAACCUGGAAAACCGGUAGAACUGGCGUUCACACUCAUGUGCGGCUGAUUCCACCACCCUUGCUCUGGCCGCCACUCUCAAGCAUCUGGUUUCCAGAUGGGCAAUUCGGAGACUCUCUUCCAGUCUCCAGCACCUUGCACUUGUUGAGGAUCUGAUUUUCUGUAUCUAAUGUACCUGCAUCGAAUCUCCCAUCAUUCACCUGCCUGCCGUGGCCGCUCUGCUAAGGAGUGAAGAAAGGGAGCCUUCCAAGCCGUCUUCCUCUCCCUUUCCCACCCUGUGCUCCCCAUCCCUGUGCUCAGUGGAUUUUGUCCCACAUUUCUGCAGGACCCGUGUUGCCGCAGUCUCCCCCGACUGUCCCACUCCUGGGCGAGAUUCUGACUGUUCUGGAGCCUCCAGUCUGCACAGAGGGGGGCGCCAACAGAGCCCUGGGAACAGAGGCAUUUGCAUUCCACUUCCCGGGGCUGUUCUGAUCUUACCUGCAAUUCUUCUGACAAAUUCUUAUCAGCGAUGCCCAUGGCGAAGUCUGUGGUGACUUUGUUCAUUCUUAUUAGCUCUGCAGAUUAGCUCUUCACAGCGCUUGGCUGGUUCAUACCGAUUCCUGAUAAAUGUUUUGACUGAUUUUCCUGACUUGGGAGCAGUUGGGGACUGGGGCUGGGGUGGAGGCAGAAGACCGUGAGGAGAGGGGUGCUGGCGAGGGGAAGGAGAGAAAAUUGUGGCCAGGAUUACAUCUGGGCUAUAAAAUAUUCAUCACAUGCCUGCAAGAGCAGGGUCAGCACCGCUUCCCCAAGAACUGCUCCCUCCACCAGGCAGCACUUUGAAAUGCACCAGCCCGGGCAGGCUGGGAGCAGCCGGGAGAGGCUUCUGAGAGAAGGGGCCAGUGGAAGUUAAAAGGAAGGAAGAACAAACCAGCUCACUUGGGCUUUCCUGUCCUUCUCGGUCCCUCCCUUCUCACCUGCUCUUCAAGAACAGCUUUUGAUGGCAGAAUACUGAUGUUCCGGGUGGGCUUAGCUGCUCCUGUGCUGGGUUCCUCUUCUCCCUUUUGCUGCCCCAAGAAACCUUCCUGAGAAUUUCAGCCCACCCUUCCUCUCCUUUCCAAGAGGUCCUCCAGCUUCCCUCUUUGAGGACUUCAGACAGUGCUAAUAACAGCGUUCCUCACCGUCUCCUGUAUUUCCCCACCUAGACUGGACUUAGAGUCAUGCCCCUCCCAAGACUAGACACGAGGUACCCAUUUGUAACGUCAUGGCUGAAUUAAAAGAGCUCCUUCCCUUUGGCAGAGUUGGCCAGCAGGUACCACCACACCACCAGUGCUGAAGCAAGGCAGGCAUUGCCGAUCGACUUCCACACGCUUUCUUCUCAAACCAAGAUGAAGUUUUCCCCUUGUUCUUAACAAGAGGUUCCAAGCAGCCACUCCUAAUCCAAUGGAAUCAAGAAGGAAAUAAAAACCUCUUUGCUAUCCUGGUUCUUUGGUACCCCCUGUAACUUCCUUGCAAUCAGGCACUACCUUUAGAGUCUAGGAACCUGGUACUGUGGCCCCAUAUAAAAUAGGAGUUCCUGUCGUGGUGCAGUGGUUCACGAAUCUGACUAGGAGCCAUGAGGUUGCGGGUUCGGUCCCUGCCCUUGCUCAGUGGGUUAACGAUCCGGCGUUGCCAUGAGCUGCGGUGUAGGUUGCAGACGCGGCUCGGAUCCCGCGUUGCUGUGGCUCUGGCGUAGGCCAGUGGCUACAGCUCCGAUUCAACCCCUAGCCUGGGAACCUCCUUAUGCCCAGGGAAGCGGCCCAAAGAAAUAGCAAAAAGACAAAAUAAAUAAAUAAAAAUAAAUAAAUAAAUAAAUAAAUAAAUAAACCCUGCACCCACAAAAGAAAGCUAUCCAUCACUUUCCGCAGGUAUCCGGUCAAGGCUUACCCUCUAAAAAAUUCUUUCAUGUGUCUAACCCAAGACCCUACUGCAGUAGAAUUAUAUUCCUGGGCUUUUCUCCCAUGGGAGAAAAAAGUCAGAUGCUUUGAGAAGUGAUGUUCUCACUCACUGCUCUUUCCCACUGCCCGGAAGUUUAAACUCUGGUGCCCAAGCACCUCACUCUGGAAAAACUCGACUCAUGCCAGCCCCAUGCCUGCUCGUGCCAGCUCCCUGGAAAAUGACCCACACCCCCGAAACUAGAAAGAGGCCUGGAGACUCUUGAAGGUCCUCUCUUGCCGCAGCCAAGUUUACUCAUUAGCCUUUCACCAGAUUUAUCUUCUCCCUGGUAGCCUGCAGCGCUUUGAUUUGUCCUGCUGUCACCAGGACUAAUGUUGAUGGCGGCACCCCCCCGGGGGCGUCAGGCUCUCCAGCCUCCUGCCAGAGCCCUCGAGGAAAAUGGAUGAGCAACUGACCCGCAAAAUAAAUACCAGACUUCCAGGUUCUGAUAAAGAUUAAAUAUUGGAGGAGUCAUUUCAAAUGAAUAUAUAAAAGCACAUGGAAGAAGCCUUUUAGACUCCGGCAGAGUGACAUACAGGCAAACAAAGAGAGAUGUCUUUGGGGAAGUUCAGUGGCAGGGAAGUUGGAGGCUCCGAAUGCAAUCUGCCCACAAAUACCCCAGCUGCAGGAAGGAUUCCAAAACAGUCAUCCCUCCCUUUCCCUCCACCCUCCCCACCCAGAUCGUGAAGAAGAGAAAGUGCUAAGCUCCAAAAGCCGCGUGCCAGCAUGAUGCUGAAGUCAGCUCUGGCCCAUCCAACCAAGGGAGAAGCCCCAUUACUCAACACCAUCUGCCUUGGGCGUGGAGCAGCCAAGAGCUAGGAUUACGGGCGGGGAUGGGGCUCUGAAGCCCCAAAGGAGAGAGUUACUGGGGAAGAGCAAGGUCAGGCAUCUCUGAGACAGAACGGGGAGGCGGGAGAGAAGCCAGAUGUCAGCAGAUGGAGCCAGUGUUCCUUGAGCCUGGGGCAGAAUGUGGUUUCUGGUCCGAAACAUGUGCAGAUUGAUUGCACAUCCAGAAACGCCCAAUAACCAGAAUCCCAGGAUCCUGUCUCUAGAAUCAAAUGUUGGAGUUCUCUGGAUCAAAGUUCAAGUGCAGUUAGCAUGGAGAUGGAAGGGGAGAGAGGCAGCCUUGAUUUACCUGGUGCCUGCAGUGCUGGGCCACUUACUCCUCCUGACCGUCCUGGGAGAUGGGCACCGGCAUCCAUUCCUUACAGAAAGGAGGCUGAGGCUGCGGCGAACGGAUGGCCACGAGGCUGGCGUUCGUCCCGCUGCCACAUGCUCAGUUCUCCAUCUCAGUCUGGAAGGCAGAGUCUUGGUGGUGGUCCAGGGACAGCUGUCCAAAUUCCUGAGAACCGGGCUCAGUAUCCAGGUCCCUCC
rnacentral:lncRNA from 1 species